rnacentral:rRNA from 1 species
CCCUUAGAUGUUCUGGGCCGCACGCGCGCUACACUGAUGCAUUCAACGAGUCUAAAACCUGCUCUGAUAGGGGUGGGUAAUCUUUUGAAUGUGCAUCGUGCUUGGGAUAGAUGAUUGCAAUUUUUCAUCUUCAACGAGGAAUGCCUAGUAAACGCAAGUCAUCAGCUUGCAUUGAUUACGUCCCUGCCCUUUGUACACACCGCCCGUCGCUCCUACCGAUUGAAUGAUCCGAUGAAUAUCAUAGACUGAGAGUAUAAGCAGGUUCGCCUGUCUUUGCUUCUCGGGAAGUGAAGUAAAUCUUAUCAUUUAGAGGAAGGAGAAGUCGUAACA